CUGUGAGAGAUGACGUGUAAUCAUCCAAUAUAAACUUAUGAGGACAAUGCCGAAAGGACAAAACGCUAUGGGUAAUAUUGUGACGGGGAAACUCAGUUAAGACAGUCUCAAACAGAGAAGAUUAGUAAUCUUAUAUGCAUUUAUCUGGACAUGCCAAGUAUGUGAAACUUUGAUGUAGCUUGAAAAAAUCAACGAAGCUGUCACACGGAAAUUCGCGUUAAGGUAUUUAAAAUGAAACACGCAGAAAGUAGAACAGUUUAUGUAGAUUUUAAUAAUUACGUUCACUUGUACGUAAGUAUCCAACAAACAAUCCAGGCAGACACGUUAAAAAACAAUUUAUGUUGGUCAUUAGCAAUUAAGAAACUCUACAACAAAUGUCA